ACUCCGAGCCGACCGCAACACGGAGCGAUCAGGGAAAUCGAAAGGUGGUGGGAUUUGCUUCUAUAUCAACGAAGAAUGGUGCACUGAUGUCACGAAGCUCGACGCACACUGCAGCCCGGACCUGGAGUCGCCGUCUUUAAACUGCAAGCCAUUCUACUCGCCACAUCCACGAACAGGACGUGAGACGGCUCGUCAAGCAGCAGAAGAUCAAGAAAGCUGCGGGGCCCGACAAAGUGUUCCCCUCCUGCCUGAAAGUCUGCGCUGACCAGCUAGCUCUGGUCUUCACACAAAUCUUCAACAGAUCCCUGGAGCUGUGUGAGUUCCCAAGAAAUCGGCAACAUCGGAAGUGAACGACGAUAGGCCUGUCACUCUGACGUCUGUGGUCAUGAAGUCCUUUGAAUGCCUUGUGCUGAACCACCUAAAGAAUGCCGCUGGACCCUCUUCAGUUUGCCUACUGGGCAAACAGGUCUGUGGAGGACACAGUCAACAUAGGUCUGCACUACAUCCUCGAGCACCUCGACAGCACAGGGACCUACGCAAGGAUCCUGUUUGUGGAUUUCAGCUCUGCGUUCAACACCAUCAUCCCGGAACUCCUCACCC